AAGUUUCUGCGGUGUACGUUAACUCAGGUAAUUCAACCGACAUAACAGACACGGGAGUCUGAGUUUAGUAUGGUAUAGCAAGCCUUCUUAGAAAGGAAGCUAAAAAUUACUAACAGGAUGCCCACCUUUAUACAGGCGGGUGUGAAUUAAAUGGGAAGACGGCAUUGCGGGAGUGUA
rnacentral:other from 1 species